GGAUUUUGUGCUUCACCUCGAUUGUAGUUGCCAGUCGACAAAUUUUAGUUGUUUUAGGCGACUAUAUUUGUAUCUGUAGUAAUGGACAAAGGAAUGACAUUUGUGAUUCGUUAAGUAGUCUAAACGUUGACUGGAUUACCUUAGUAUAAUUAUUCGUUUAGGAAACACUAUAUAUACAUAAGUCCAUAUAUGUUCCCGAAACAUUUUUUAAUUUACUAGUAAAUGUAAUCCUUGAUAAAAACAUCUUGGAACAUAUUUUCAUUUUUGUUAGCUUAAUGUCAAAUUUGAUAUUACAAAUGUGUCAUCCUGCAUUAUAAUUCAAAGUUUUCUCCAAUAUGGUAAGUGCCAUGGUAAUGUUGUUCACCAUGUUUUAUACAAAAUGUAAGUUAUAUUUGACUAACCUCGGUAUUUGGUUACUUCAUGGUGUGCGAUACGUAUUCAACACAAUGCAAAUGUAUUUAAGUCUGUUUUGCUUAAAGAUGUCAACAAACACAACUAGUGUUGGUCAUCUUGAGAACAAUAGCUGCGCCAUUCAGGCAAACUAUGUUUUGGACAAAAGAACCAAAGCUUGGUAUGCCAUCAUGUUCCACGAUCAAGUACGUUUUGUGCAUAAAGGCUCUAGACAGAAGAGCGAUGUUGUACUGGAAGUCCGUUAGAACACGGUGGUACAACGCAAACAAUUACAAAUGCGGUUACCACAUCUUCACCAACACAGUCCUCGACUGUCGCGUCCACUAAAAGCGUUACCUCUGCUGUCUCGUAUGUUCUAUUGCAUCGAAUGCAAGUAAAUCAACCGCUGAAAUAGUUCAUUACGGCUGCGCACCAACUGUCUUCUUGCAUGCUGCUUCGCACCAUGGUAAACUGUUCACGAUUGGUCAGACAUGCUACGAGCUUGUGACGGAGACAAAAUCUUGAUCCAGCGCUGAAAGUGACUGCAAAAGUCGUGGCGGACAUUUAGUCGACAUUGCAAACGACGAACAACAGAAUAAAAUCUACGAGAUCGUGAGACAGUAUCAUGGUGACAA